GACCUUCAUCGGUUGCUAAAAAAAGAAGCCCUCCUCCCGUAUCCCUAACCUUGUGACGCAUACCAUCGCGCCGCCACUUCCCAUGGAUCGAGCCGCUGCUUCCAAUGGAUUGUGCCGCCGCUCUGCUCACCACCGUAGUCGUCACAGCCUAUCCCAGCAGUCGUCGCUGCCCACCGCAUCCAGCCGCUGUCGCAUCUCACCGCCUCCACCGCCCCCAUGAAUCACCGCAUCCUCUCUCUUGGACCAGCAUGCUGCGGUGGAUGCUUCCGGUCCCAUUGUGGCGACAUGGCUGGUCAAGGGAACGCGGUGAGGCAGAUUGUGUCCCGUUCAUUGAUCUGCCCCACUUGCUGCUGCUCCUCUCCCAUCGACCGUCACGUCAACAUUUACCGCGACACACGACGUUCUCCUCUUCUGCGAUGAUGCUUAUAAGCGACAAUAAUGGUGUCCUGUUGUGGCCCAACACUCAUCGGACCGCCGAAGCACGGAAGUGCGCGGAGAAGAUCGCUCUCUACUUAGCAAAUUCCACCGUGUUCUGAAUGGCUGCCCGACAAGACGCUCUGUCGGAUGUUCAUCAUCAGCGCCAGUCAUGGGUUCGGGCUACUGUGGAACUCAUGGCAUCAACCAUAUGAACCUGCAUGUAUUUGAUAGUUUGCUCGAUCAGUUUUAUGCCUUCCACUACAGCUAAGGCUACUACGCAACUUCAUUGAGAUUUUUUCUAUAGGACUUGGAUUAAUAAUCCCCAAGAAUACGAUCACGCUUCUUAUAAAUUUCAGGUAUAAAUACAUUUGUGAUUUUCUGUAUGUUGUACUACUAAACUGUGUGCUAUACCACGCAUGGCAUCUGCGCCUUUUCAGAUAUGCAUGCAUUUUUCAAGAGAAUUUAUCUAAGAUGUAGUAUAUAGAAAGGUACCUAAAAUGUUAGCUUAUAUUGCCAACUCUUGAAAAUAUACGGGCCUUUUACUUUUUUUGCCCUGAACCAUGGGAUUUCAUGAAUAAUACCCAAUGCAUUGCUUACUGUUGUCCAGUGUACUACAGUUUAGUAUGAAAAACUUGACCUUUGUUUGACAAGAAAAUGUCUGCUAACUCCCAAAUGGACUGACUUUCGAGAACCAAUUUAGGUUGUGAUCAUUAGUGCGUCUUCAAAGCUGCUUCACAUAACAUAACAUUUGAUUUUUACUAAUCUGAAAUCAAGCCUAAGCAAUGUUAAGUAGACCUUUGAAUUCUUAAUAAGGAAAUUACAGAAUCUGUUCUGUGUGCUGUAGGAUUAGUGUUGUUUGAAGAUGUUUUUCUUCUUACCAAUCAGGUUGAUGAUUUUGACUGUCGAUGCAGACGUUGUGCCGGAUGUUCAUCAUCGGUGGCAGUCAUGGGUUCAGGCUCCUGUGGAACUCAUGGCAUCGACCAUAUGAACCUUCAUGUAUUUGAUAGUUUGCUCGAUCAGUUUUAUGCCUUCCACUACAGCUAAGGCUACUACGCAGCUUCAUUGAGAUUUUUUCUAUAGGAUUUGGAUUAAUAAUCUCCAAUAAUAUGGUCAUGCUUCUUAUAAUUACUUUCAUGUAUAAAUACAUUUGUGAUUUUUUGUAUGUUGUACUACUAAACUGUGUGCUAUACCAAGCCUAAGCAAUGUUAAGUAGACCGUUGAAUUCUUAAUAAGGAAAUUACACAAUCUGUUUUGUGUGCUGUAGGAUUAGUGUUGUUUGAAGAUGUUUUUCUUCUUACCAAUCAGGUUGAUGAUUUUUACUGUCGAUGCAGACGCUGUGCCGGAUGUUCAUCAUCAGUGGCAGUCAUGGGUUCAGGCUCCUGUGGAACUCAUGGCAUCGACCAUAUGAACCUUCAUGUAUUUGAUAGUUUGCUCGAUCAGUUUUAUGCCUUCCACUACAGCUAAGGCUACUAUGCAGCUUCAUUGAAUUUUUUUCUAUAGGAUUUGGAUUAAUAAUCUCCAAUAAUAUCGUCAUGCUUCUUAUAAAUACUUUCAGGUAUAAAUACAUUUGUGAUUUUCUGUAUGUUGUACUACUAAACUGUGUGCUAUACCAUGCGCCUUUUCAGAUAUGCAUGGAUUUUUCAAGAGAAUUUAUCUAAUAUGUAGUAUAUAGCUAGAAAGGUACCUAAAUGUAUAUUGCCAACUAUUGAAAAUAUACGGACCUUUUACUUUUUUUGCCGUGAACCUAGGCAGCUUGGGACGGAGUAGGUGUCAAUAGUAAGUAUAUACCAGAACAUUUUUUUAAUGAUUGCUAGAACAAUAUUUCUGCGAUAUUGUAUAUACUAACAUAGUGACUGUGGAGUACUAAUUCAAAGUAUAUACUAUUGUACUGUAUUUUGUCUAAAUACCAUCUAUAUCAGAGUAGUACAUAGACUGCUCUUUGUGCACGGCAGUAUGUAGCAUACAAAAUUAAAUCAAAUGGGUAUAUAACAUACACUUUGAUAAAGUAAGUAUAUACUUUUUUUCUGGUGCAGUAUAUACAACAUUUUCGUAAGGCAAUAUAUAGUACUUUUUAAGUGAACCAGUAUACUACUUUUUUUAUUCAGUAUAUACAUAAUCUUUUAGUCGAUAUAUACUAAUGUUCUUGAUAUAUAAGGCAACCUGCAAAUUCCAUGCCGCCAUUGUGGACCAGUGCAUGCCAUGCCAACAUUGUUUCUUAUUACCACCGUUGUUGACAAUAUUGGUGGUGCCGUCACAUGGAUCAAUCAGUGCACCCCACGCUGUUGCUUUGUCGACGAGAUGGUAGUGCCGUCUUAUCCAUCGAUCAGUGCACCUACUUAUUAACGUCGCAACGGCUAUGUGACUAGCUGCUUCAGUGGCUUUGCACCUCGAUCCAGAUUACUUUCAUGCAAAGCCUGUCAUGUUUGCCUUAUGUGCAGGAAUAGGCAAGCACAACAGAAGACCUGAUCAUAGACACUCAUAGUCUGAGGUAAAUACUCCUUCAAUGCAAGCUGUCAAAUAGUUUUCUUUUAUCUUGAAAACUAUAAAUUUAUUUAAAAAAUUGUGGUAACAAAUUUAUUAAGUUAUUACGUGGGAAAGACCAUCAACUAAUAAUAAUAUAUAAAACAAGGGUAGGCUAGGAAAAAGAUACAUCAUUCUUAGAAAAUUGUACUAACAAAGUUGUUAAGUUAUUACGUGGGAGAGACUCAACUAAUAAUAUAAAAACAAGGGUAGGCGGUAUUAUCGGAAAGAUUGGACGCUACUUCUUCCUCCAGGCCCGAAAGAGAUCACGCUUCUCCACCAUCUCUUCCUCUCCUGGUUUAUCUUGAAUACACAAUAACUUUGGAUUUGAGAUCACUUUGUUUUGUACCAUGUGCUUGGAUAGUGUUGUGCUUUCCAGGGAUGCAAUCCCGGCUCUUCUCACUAGAACCUAUGGAUACCUCAUGGAGAUUUGUUGGAGCAUAAUCUUCUAAUGUACAACCUAUGUAUACAUAUGGACAUCGGAGGGAGCAUAAUUAUGAUCAUCAAGCGAGCUUAUAAAAACCUGCUGUCUGAACAGACUACAGCGGCAUGAAGGAGGCUAAUGUCAGUUGUCAACGUCGUCACUGGUCAAGUUACUAAUCAAUUUUUGUAUCGACAAAACAUGUCCAGGGCCCUCCAUGGGAGAGUUAAAAUCUUCAAUGGCCUUCCCAAUCUCCAGUUACGGCUGAUGUUGUUGCUUGAUAUGCUGGUCCGCCACAAUCUCGUGUUCAUGGAAGUUCCUUGCCAAGCUGCCAUGUCCUGGCCGUUGAGAAUUGACUUCUCAUGAAUUUUCUUCUAACCUUUUUUUCAGUCAGCAGAUAGUGCAGAUAGUUAGGCGGUGAAACACUUGACAAUGAAGAUGUUUGUCAACUACUAAAACAUGGAUGGUUUCUGUUAUACUGUAUAUCUGAAUAAACAAUUUUGCGGGCAAUUUUUUUGCAUAAGUAAAGGCAUGUGAGA